CGACGCCCCGCCCCCACCACCUCCCUCGCUACCGGCGCCGCCCGAGCCCCAACCUCCCUGGAUCCCAGCGUCACUCCACCACCACCUCAUAUAUCCCACAGCAGCAGCCGCCCAUGCCGCCUAUGCGCGCCUCCGUCCUCCUCCAGGCGCCGGCAGCACGCCCCGCCCCACGCCGCCUGCCACGCGCGCACCUACUCCAAACCGAUGGCUCGUUGGCCUUCCAGGCUGCCGCUGGCUUGUUCUUCCUCUGGCCACCGCCAGCUCACCGGCCGUUCAUCUUCGCCACUUACUGAAGGUCAUCUUUUAGAAAUUGCCAUCAUGUGUACAACUACGGCAAAAUGACCUCUCCCCCAUGCCGCUCUCCUCUCUCUACCUGAUAUGCUUUUGUAUCUAUACUGCAGCUUGUUCUAUUCUGCUUGUUUUUAGAGGAAAAGAGAUGGUUCUUCACUGUCUUGCUCGUGUAUGCUAAUGAUGUGACGCGGUUCAGCUGCUUGUGCGUUUGCACUAAUGAUCAUUCAGCUGUGUUUGCUUGUCUAUGUUACUGAACUGACAAUGUUACUGAACUUGUGUUCUCGCUAAUUCUGUACUUGUGUUCUCGCUAAUUUUGUACUGGUGUUCACUCUUAUGUAUUACGGUGGCCAUGGAUGCACCCAACGAAGGACAACGAUGGGCAAAAAAUGAUAGUGAAGCUGCUUGCCUCCUCUUCAUAUUCCAUACUAGAAAACAUCCUUCGACCCUUUAUUUUCUUCAGUAAGUUUUCAUUAAAAGACCUCAGAAUAGUAAGUAGAAGUUUGACACAAGGACCUACAUCAGUUCAACUGCAGAAAGAGAACAAGUCCAUGAGAUUAUUAUUAAGUUCAAGAUUACUACAUGGUCCAUGUACGUAUUUAACAACAAGUCCAUGAAUUACUAUAUGAGAAGUACAAAAAAUACUACUGAUGAGAGUUCAUUUAAAUACCUUAUAGUGUUUUUUUCAGUACACACUAUAGGAUUUUAUUCAGUUCAAUGAAUUCCAAUAGAAAAAACUGCGGCUGUGUAAUGAUUCUUGAAUUUACGUUUCUUCUUGCACUUUGCUCUAUGGAGCAAAAGUGGUACAGUGAUGAUUCAGCUUGGGCGGGCUCUCAAAGUUGGAGACAUAAUAACCAGUUAUUUAGACUUUUCAAUCACACGAUCACUUGCGGAUAUCCUCUGCUUUUCUUUACAUCAAUUAUUUUUUAAAAGUUCAAAUUAUAAAAGCAGAUAAGUCCAGGGUUCAUCGGCGGAAGUUUGAGAAAAAAGAGAUAAAAGAAAAGGAGAGUUCGGAAAAUGCGCUAGUACUGGUUACUACUGUCUGCUGUUGCAUGAAGCCCCUACUGCUUGCAUUGGUGUGCUGCUAUUGUUUGUUGGUUCAGCAGGGUGACCUGAGUGUGUGAGAGAGAUAGCAAAAUGGAAUGAUCUUCUACAUCGACUAAAUCAUGGCACACUCAGUUCAAUUUCUUGAUUUAGUCCAAUUCAAUUCCUAAUUUUGUUUCAGUUCAAAGACUGCUAUCUCUCUCAGUUUCUAUGUUUAAUUACAAAGUCCAUGUACAUUACAGCAAAUAAGUUCAAGUAUAUCAAUAAAUGAAAGUUCAGGUAUAUGGAAUUUGAUGCUUGUUGGGUGUAUACAGGAGUAUAAAUGGAUUUUCUUUUUGUUGAAUGAAGUAGAACUUGUUGUUAUGCUUCUGAACUUCUACCUCUUUCCCGCAGGUGGGUCACAGAAGCUAUCACAUCUCUUUCUGAACCUUUUUUCUCUGGAAUUUCUUUUCUGCUUAUGCGUCGGGUAAAAUAGUACCAGAAUGAGCUAGCCCCCCUGGUCAGUAGAUCUUUCUUUCUAUGUGUUAGUUCCUAGCUAAUACGGUUACACUGCAUUUUGCCAUUCUAUGAGAGGAAGCAAAGAAAUGAAAAAGCAAUCAGAGUGAGAAGAACCUCAAAAAUCAAAAAGCCAGGUGCAGGGAACCUCUCUCUCUCUCUCUCCCUCAAAUGAUUUGCCAUAUGGUCCAAUUUUGUAUCUUUAUUUUGUUCUUUCUUGAAGCUUGGAUGAGAAGAACCUCACAAAUUGCAGUAUGUUCCACCGUAUGCACUUUGUUCAUGUUCCUAUGUGAAUUGAUCAGUGAUCAUCGUGCUCGACCGUCUCCCUCCUGUCCCGUCCGUCUAGGUUUGGACUCACACCAGUUCAAGUAGUGAUGUUGCAACAGGCUGGGGAACAAUUUUGGAAUCACGCAUAUAUAGCGGUUGCUUGCAAAUGAAUUUGUCGUUGCUAGUACAUUUUUUGUACCAGAUGCUUCCAAGUGAAUUGCCAUUUACUGCUAUCCAUGAUGUUCCUGCCAUGUUUUUUUUUGAAUUUACUAUGUAACCACUGCUCAUGGUAACAUCAAACAACAAAUUUUAUAUGCCUGGCAUGUUUGAUCUUAUUUGACUCCAUGACCAUAGUGCCAAACAAAAAUCUACAAUAUCCUUGCUAGCUUGCAGCUGUAACUUUGUAAAAUUGUCUCUGAAGUUCUGAUUGCAUUGCCAUCUCCCAGUGGGGCUCUGCUGCCGGAGCACCCUUGACGUUCACAACCACCAUUCCAAGCCAUUCAAUGCCACCACCCCAGGCCGUUCAUUGCUAGCAGCACCAUGGAUCCUGCCCCUCGCCCUAGUAGUUUCAGUUAUCAAGUGAGUUUCAGUCCAACUUGAGCUCCUUGAGAUGAUAAUAUAAUUAACUUCCAAAUUAUUACAUGGUCCAUGCAUUUUACAGCAAGUCCAUGUAGUACUACAUGGGAAGUACAAAAAUUACUUCUAGUGAGAGUUCAUUUAAAUCUACAGGGUCCAGUCCCAUAUAUCUUUUAACCAGGUUCAUGGUGAAGCCCAGGGUGCUCGUCGGCGAUCACAAUAAGCAGGCCGUCGAGAAGGAGCUGGGCGACAUGGUGCAGCGGUGUGGCCAGUUCAACUACCUGAAUUGUUUGACAGCAAGUCCAUGUAUUACUACAUAAGAAGUAUAAAAAAUACUGCUUGUGAGAGUUCAUUUAAAUCCUGGUCAGUUCAUCUCCUCAAAACAUAUUUACUUCUUCUCUACCCGUUCUAUCUCCUGAACUGUUCAUGUUGCAUCCUUUCUCUCAUGAUGUGAUGUUAUUGCUCUGUCGUAGGUACAACAUGGUCAUAGAAACAUCAUAUAGCUGACCACUGUGUUUGAUUUUGGUCUGAGCGACCAUGCUAUGCUACCUACAAAACCAUAUAGUUUGAGUUUCCAUGCAUGCUCUUAGUUUUUGUUGUGUGGUUAUGCAUCUCAUAGUUUUUUACAAUGUUACAUUUACUAGCUCGUCAGUCUUCUUUUACCUUCAUGUGCCCUAACUUCUAAAGAUGAAGUAUUACAGUUGCUAGUUUCAAUCUUCUUCUACCUUCUUGUGCACUUCUAAAAGAUGAAGCUAAUAGAGUUGCUAGUUUUGGUGUUACUUUAACUUCAUGUGCAGUAAUAAAAAUACACAAAAUUACCCAUCAGUUCAAAGUGUGCCAAAGAUACAAUCCUAGGUGUGUUGUAGUGCGUGGUUAAUUGGUUACUGGUAUGUGCAAGGCCCGACCGGUGACAGUGAGUAGGCGGCUAGUGUACUAUGGCGAGCAAGGAGACAAACGCAUGGAGCAGAUGUGUGUGGCGAGCCGCUCAUGGCCGAUGCAGCGGCUGUCUCUACUGCUGGGUUCCAGUGCUACCCCUCCAGUCACUGUUGCCCCAUGUUGGGUGUUCCAGAGCUUCAAUGUUUUCAGUUCGUAGUUUGGAUGCUUUUCAGCUCAUCUACUUUCCAAUCAAAAGUCUGAUCAUCUUUGUGUUUCCAUAUUCUGCACAAGAAUCAUUACACAUGCUGGUAUCUCAUCUCUUAGAUUUUUAUUUUUUCAGGAUGCAGCCAAAACCAGAUGUAGCAGUUACAAAAAGGGUGAAAUUGGAGGAUCUACAUUAUUCUUGUUGGACGUUUAGAAAACAAGCAAAAUUUUGAAAGAAAAAAUAAAGUAGACGAAGUUCGUAAUUUUGAAGUUUGUGAUUUUGGCUCAUGGCAGGAGUGACGAUGAAGGAUGUGAAGCUUCACCACCAUUCAAAACUCCAGUAUGGUCCAGUUCGUCAUGAGGAUCCAAAGCUUCAACUUUUAGUACAUCUACUUCCUCAUUAUGGGAGAAGGAAAUCAGUCCAACAGGCGCAUCUAAAGUGAGAUGUCGCGCACCGCCCACUUGUUCUCAAGCUGCCCGUUCUUGUCGUUCCAGCUUGCCAUCAACCACAGUUGUCGCUCAACCCCCACAAUGCAUCCACGACCACACGUAGCCUCCCACUAUUGUUUCCCACACCAUGCUCUCCUGCGUAUUGGUGGCCUUGAUGAGUUGACUAAUUGGUUGCCGCUCCUGCGUGCUACAGUAUGCCUCUGAGUUGGUCACCAUUUACAUUUUUGUUUUAAGUUCAUCUGUGUUCUUGUUGUCAGUCCGCCUGCAAAUUUGUUAUCGUUGUUAGUUCAUGCCUGUUCUUGUUGUUAGGUCCUGUGUAAGUUUGUUAUCGGUUCAUGUGUAUUGUGUUACUUUUGUUUCUUCAUUAGUACAUAUCCACCAACAACCCGUUCAAUGAUGUAAGCCAGGCAAGUUCGAAAAGAAAUGGAUAAAACAAUGGUGAUGGUGAAAAGAAUACAGACCAUUCAACGAUGUAAGCCACGCAAAUUCUGAACUUA